rnacentral:rRNA from 1 species
CCUACGGGCGGCAGCAGUGAGGAAUAUUGGUCAAUGGACGAGAGUCUGAACCAGCCAAGUAGCGUGAAGGAUGACUGCCCUAUGGGUUGUAAACUUCUUUUAUAUGGGAAUAAAAUGUUCCACGUGUGGGAUUUUGUAUGUACCCUAUGAAUAAGGAUCGGCUAACUCCGUGCCAGCAGCCGCGGUAAUACGGAGGAUCCGAGCGGUAUCCGGAUUUAUUGGGUUUAAAGGGGUGGUAGGUGGAAUGUUAAGUCAGUUGGGAAAGUUUGCGGCUCAAACGUAAAAUGGCAGUUGAAACUGGCAGUCUUGAGUAGAGGAGAGGUGGGCGGAAUUCGUGGUGUAGCGGUGAAAUGCUUAGAUAUCACGAAGAACUCCGAUUGCGAAGGCAGUUCACUGGACUGCAACUGACACUGAGGCUCGAAAGUGUGGGUAUCAAACAGGAUUAGAUACCCUUGUAGUC